rnacentral:rRNA from 1 species
UGGAAGUCGAACGGAGAAUUUAUUUCGGUAAAUUCUUAGUGGCGAACGGGUGAGUAACGCGUAGGCAACCUGCCCUUUGGAUGGGGACAACAUUCCGAAAGGAGUGCUAAUACCGAAUGUGAUCCAUUUCUCGCAUGAGAGAUGGAUGAAAGAUGGCCUCUAUUUAUAAGCUAUCGCCAAAGGAUGGGCCUGCGUCUGAUUAGUUAGUUGGUGGGGUAACGGCUCACCAAGACGAUGAUCAGUAGCCGGUCUGAGAGGAUGAACGGCCACAUUGGGACUGAGACACGGCCCAAACUCCUACGGGAGGCAGCAGUGGGGAAUCUUCCGCAAUGGACGAAAGUCUGACGGAGCAACGCCGCGUGAGUGAUGAAGGUUUUCGGACUGUAAAACUCUGUUGUCAGGGACGAAGGUGCGAUCUGCGAAUAGUUGAUCGUAUUGACGGUACCUGACGAGGAAGCCACGGCUAACUACGUGCCAGCAGCCGCGGUAAUACGUAGGUGGCAAGCGUUGUCCGGAAUUAUUGGGCGUAAAGAGCAUGUAGGUGGGCUUUUAAGUCCGAUGUGAAAAUGCGGGGCUCAACCCCGUAUGGCAUUGGAUACUGGAAGUCUUGAGUGCAGGAGA